rnacentral:rRNA from 1 species
CGGAUUGUAGUCUGCAACUCGACUACAUGAAGCUGGAAUCGCUAGUAAUCGCGAAUCAGAAUGUCGCGGUGAAUACGUUCCCGGGUCUUGUACACACCGCCCGUCACACCAUGGGAGUUGGAAAUGCCCGAAGUCAGUGACCCAACCGAAAGGAGGGAGCUGCCGAAGGUGGAGCCGAUGACUGGGGUGAAGUCGUAACAAGGUACC